rnacentral:rRNA from 1 species
UACGUAGGAGGCGAGCGUUGUCCGGAGUUACUGGGCGUAAAGGGUGCGCAGGCGGUGGCCCGCGUGGGCGGUGAAAGCUCCUGGCUCAACUGGGAGAGGGCCGUCCAGACGGGGUCACUUGAGGGGCGGAGAGGGGCGUGGAAUUCCGGGUGGAUCGGUGAAAUGCGUAGAGAUCCGGAGGAACACCAAAGGCGAAGGCAGUGUCCUGGGGAGUACCUGACGCUCAGGUGCGAAAGCCAGGGGAGCGAACGGG